rnacentral:rRNA from 1 species
UACGUAGGGUGCGAGCGUUAAUCGGAAUUACUGGGCGUAAAGCGUGCGCAGGCGGUUCGUUGUGUCGGUGGUGAAAUCCCCGGGCUUAACCUGGGAAUGGCCAUGGAAACUGGCGAACUGGAGUGCGGCAGAGGGGGGUGGAAUUCCGCGUGUAGCAGUGAAAUGCGUAGAUAUCGGGAGGAAUACCGAUGGCGAAGGCAGGUCUCUGGGCUGACACUGACGCUCAUGCACGAAAGCGUGGGGAGCAAACAGG